UACGAAGGGUGCAAGCGUUACUCGGAAUUACUGGGCGUAAAGCGUGCGUAGGUGGUUCGUUAAGUCCGAUGUGAAAGCCCCGGGCUUAACCUGGGAACUGCGUCUUAAACUGCACGGCUAGAGUACUGUAGAGGGUAGUGGAAUUUCCGGUGUAGCGGUGAAAUGCGUAGAGAUCGGAAGGAACACCAGUGGCGAAGGCGGCUACCUGGACAGAUACUGACACUGAGGCGCGAAAGCGUGGGGAGCAAACAGG
rnacentral:rRNA from 1 species